ACACGGCUUUUUCAUCGAGUCAGUAUAAGUUUGGUCUUCGGAAAAAUUGCAUGUAACAUGUGGCGGUACAGUGUAAGAGACAAGGAAUUUUAUUUGAAAAAGUAAGAUAUUAGUGUUUGCAAUGUUUGUGCUUUCACCUGCAACUCGUCUGAAGCCCUCCUUCACUUUCGUUGCAAUUUCUCCAACAGGGAAGACGAGUGUAGCUUGCGCAAAAACAGCAAUGAUGGCAGCAGCGACAGCCUUGACCGAUCUUCCUACUGAGGAUUCGGAAAUCCCGAGGCUGUCUCCAAUCAGCCGAAGAUGGGCCCCAGUUGCUACAAACCGUAGAAACAGCAACACUUGCAACAGUGGAGGCACUGGACUGUUCCUUUUGGUCGUUGUUUCGAGUUGGUCGGAAACACCAUUCACAAGGAAGUGAAUGGUGUCGGGGCGAAAUCUAUAGCGCUGGUAGAUUUCAAAGUCAUCCAACAACUCCAAGGGAUUACUACGAUCUCUAAAAACCCUUGGUCGGACUAAAACAUGACGUCGUCUGCGAUUUCUUGCUAAUCGUCUGUGUACGGCAGCCAUUUUGUUUGCUUGAGAAAAUUCUUAAGUCUACUUUUUUGUAUACUCAAAUAUUUGAGAAUAAAACAGAAUUUGAGAAUUUUU
rnacentral:sRNA from 1 species